GGCCCCGUGGCUCAGCGGUUAGCGCAUUGGCCUAGUGAGCCAGGGUUUGUGGGUUCGAAUCCCACUUGGGCCU